rnacentral:lncRNA from 1 species
GGGAGGAGGCGGGGGAGGAGAGGCCCCCGAGACCGCGAGCAGCAGCUGGGGAGGGGGUCGCGGAGCCGGAGCGCGAGCAAAACAGCUGAUCCGAUUUUCCUUUAAAGCGAGAGAAAAUGGAAGUCGGGUAGCGGUGACUGCGGCGCUGCGGGCUGACCGAGCGGAGCGGAGCGGCGCGGCGCGGCAGGUGAGUCGGCGCUGGCCCUGGUGCUGCCGGUGGCGGCGGGGCUGGGGCCGCGGACCAGGCAGGUGCGCUGUCCGAGCGCGGGCGGCGCGUCCCUUCGCGGCAAGGCAGAGUUCUCAGGGGCUGUUGUCUCACACCUUCUUCUGGGGGCAACAAUGGGCCAUUUCCAGCAGGGAUGGUGCAGCAUCACCCCGGAUGCCUGACUGCCACACAUCUCCAGAGCAUCACACUGUCUGAAAAGUGGAAGUGACAAAAGAGGAGACUCUCCCGGCCGAGGCUCCGGUGCAUGGAGAGAAGGAAGAAGACAAUCUCCUAAUUGGUACCAUAUACAUCAGGUCAAAUAAUUUUCUUAUUUUCCAGCUGCACCAACCAAAGAUUACACCCAAGUAGGAGCCAUGUGCAAGCUGGUGUAGUAACAAUGAACACGUCUGAGGUCACAGACCUCCCCACCUGAUCCCCAGUCCUCAGGGUCUUGCAUCUUGGAUGCUUUUUUCUCCCAGUCUUACAAAUGCACAGAUGGGCUCAGAGAGGUUAGAAAGCAUGUCACAGCUCGUCAGAGUGGCAGAUCUGGGGCUCAGGCUGGCAUGCCUGGCUCUGAAGCAGCAGCAGUCAUCACAGAACCCAGCCCACAGAGCAGAGCAUCCAAGUGGUUAUCUUUAAAGGAGGGAACAGAGGACACUCAUCAGUAGCAUGGGAUUGAAACUCGCCCCACAGCAUGUUAAAUUAAUUACGUGCAUAAUUAAUAUACUUAUUUAUACCAGUAUAAAAUUUUCUGUCAUCUAAAGUGGACUCAGCAAACUUUCUAUAAAGGUCCAAAUAGUAAAUAUGUUUGGUUUUGUGGGUCUCAUGAUCUCCAUUUUAACUGCUCAACUGGGCCGUGUGCAAAAGCAACCAGAGGCAAUAUGUAAAUGAAUGGAUGUGGCUAUGUUCCAAUGCAACUUUAUUUACAAAAACAUGUGGUGGACCACACUUGGCCCAUGGCCAUAAUUUGCUAACCCGUUAUGUAUGCAAACAUGGGGAUGCCUUUGCACUGUAUCAGCCGUGACCGGGUAUCUACCAGUGACCCAGCACUGGUUCACUAGUUCAUGAGUCACCCUCACCUGCCAUGUGCUGGUUGCUUUUCCCGCAGCAUUUGGCUGGUACAGCCUGUGGUCAAGCUGCAGGAUGCCCAUUGUAUCUUUCUAACUAGGAUUAUUCUGCCUAGGAAAUCUGACAUCUUUAUGAAUUUUGUUGGAUUGUU